AUACGGAGGGUCCAAGCGUUAUCCGGAAUCAUUGGGUUUAAAGGGUCCGCAGGCGGUCAAUUAAGUCAGAGGUGAAAGCCCAUCGCUCAACGAUGGAACUGCCUUUGAUACUGGUUGACUUGAGUUAUACGGAAGUAGAUAGAAUAAGUAGUGUAGCGGUGAAAUGCAUAGAUAUUACUUAGAAUACCGAUUGCGAAGGCAGUCUACUACGUAUAUACUGACGCUGAGGGACGAAAGCGUGGGGAGCGAACAGGAGUAGAAACCCCGGUAGUCC
rnacentral:rRNA from 1 species